rnacentral:rRNA from 1 species
AGGCAACUCUCACCCAGCCAUGCCGCGUGCAGGAAGACGGSYCUCUGGAUUGUAAACUGCUUUUGAAUGGGAAGAAUGUGGGKUUGCGAGCUAUAAUGACGGUACCAUUAGAAUAAGCCACGGCUAACUACGUGCCAGCAGCCGCGGUAAUACGUAGGUGGCGAGCGUUAUCCGGAUUUAUUGGGUUUAAAGGGUGCGUAGGCGGCUUUAUAAGUCUGUGGUUAAAGGUAGCAGCUUAACUGUUUUACAUGCCAUAGAUACUGUAGAGCUUGAGUUAUUUGGAGGCAGCUAGAAUUUCCGGUGUAGCGGUGAAAUGCAUAGAUASSSGAAGGAAUASCGAUUGCGAAGGCRGGNUGCUACAAAUAUACUGACGCUGAUGCACGGAGUUGAUUUGGGAGUGCAGCUAGAAUAUGCUCGGUGUGACGCGUGUAGAAGUCGCAUGAGGAUUAGCCCGGGAAGGACAUCAGCCAAUUUGCGAAGCAG